rnacentral:rRNA from 1 species
GCCGCCGUCGCCGACACCCUCGCGCCCCUCACCGACGUCACCCACCUCUUCUACGUCGCCUGGGACCCCCGCCCGACGCACGGGGAGGGCCGCGAGGCCAACGGCGCCAUGCUCCGCAACGUCCUCUCCGCGCUCGUCCCCAACUGCCCCGGCCUGCUCCACGUCUGCCUCCAGACCGGCCGCAAGCACUACGUCGACCCGUUCGAGCCCCUCACCCACGUGCCCCUCGCGCUCCGCCCCUACUCCGAGGACCUCCCGCGCCUCGACUACCCCGACCUGGAGGACGUCCUCCUCGACGGGCUCGCCAGCAACAACCGCGUCACCUGGUCCGUGCACCGCCCCACCACCAUCUUCGGCUUCUCCCCGCGGAGCGCAAGAAACGUCCUCGCCAGUCUCUGCGUCUACGCUGCCAUCUGCGGCAAGGAGGGCCUCGUGCUGCGCUGGCCAGGAUCCCGCGUCGCCUGGGAGGGCUUCAGCGACGCCUCCGACGCGGAGCUCGUCGCCGAGCACGCACUCUGGGCGGCCAUGGAGCCCAGUGGCAAGAACGAACCCUUCAACUGCAGCAACGGGGACCUCUUCAAGUGGCAGCAGCUAUGGCCGAUCCUCGCCAACCAGUUCGGUGUGGCGUGGACGGGAUACGAGGGGGAGGACCAGCGCUUCAUGCUGGAGGAGGCCAUGGCCGGGAAGGAGGGCGUGUGGGCGGAGAUCGUCAACGACAACGGGCUCGUGGAGACCGAGCUCAACGACAUCACCAACUGGUUCUGCGUCGACGCCAUGGUCAACGUGGAGCGGGAGAACAUCGACACCAUGAACAAGAGCAAGGAGUAUGGAUUCUUCGGGUUCCGGAACACGGUGAGGUCCUUCAAUACCUGGAUCAACAAGAUGAAGGUUGACAAGAUUGUCCCCUGA